UGAGGUGUCCUGUCAAGUCAGGUAACGAUCGAGACCCGCAUCCCUUGUUGCUACUGUGCGAAUAGCCAGGCACACUAGGGAAACUGCCGUCGAUAAGGCGGAGGAAGGAGCGGGCCACGGCAGGUCAGUAUGCCCCGAAUCCCCCGGGCCACACGCGAGCUGCAAUGGUAGGGACAAUGGGUUCCGAAUCCGAAAGGAGAAGGUAAUCUCUAAACCCUGCCUCAGUUGGGAUCGAGGGCUGUAACUCGCCCUCGUGAACAUGGAAUGCCUAGUAAUCGCGUGUCACUAUCACGCGGUGAAUACGUCCCCGCUCCUUGCACACACCGCCCGUCGCUCCAUCCGAGUGAGGUUUGGGUGAGGCGUGGUCCUUAGUGGCUGCGUCGAAUCUAGGUCUCGCAAGGAGGGAGAAGUCGUAACAAGGUGGCCGUAGGGGAACCUGCGGCCGGAUCACCUCCUAAGAAA
rnacentral:rRNA from 1 species